ensembl:misc_RNA 7SK 7SK RNA
GGAUGUGAGGGUGAUCUGCCUGUGACAACUCUCACCCCACUGAUCGCCAGGGUUGAUUCGGCUGAUCUGGCUGGCUAGAUGGGUGACCCCUUCCUCCCUCACUGCUCCAUGUGCGUCCCUCCCGAAACUCCACGCUCAGUCGAAGAGGACGACCAUGCCCAACAGAGGAGGACCAGUCUUGGGUCAAGGGUGUAUGAGUAGCUGCGCUCCCCUGCUGGACACUCCAAACAAGCUCCCAAGAUUAGCUUUGGGACUCUCACUGCAUUGUGCCCACAAAGUCCUAUGCCCAAAGUUCUUGUAUCAGAAACU